rnacentral:rRNA from 1 species
CCAAUAGCGUAUAUUAAAGUUGUUGCAGUUAAAAAGCUCGUAGUUGAAUUUCGGGAUCAAGGAAUCGGUCAUGCCUUGGUAUGUACUGGUUUUAUUGGUUCUCACCUUCUAAAGAACCGUAAUGUCAUUUAUUUGAUGUUAUGGGGAAUUAGGACUGUUACCUUGAAAAAAUUAGAGUGUUUAAAGCAGGCUUUAGCUUGAAUACAUUAGCAUGGAAUAAUGAAUUAGGACGUUCGAACCUAUUUUGUUGGUUUCUAGGAUCAACGUAAUGAUUAAUAGGGAUAGUUGGGGGCAUUAGUAUUCAAUUGUCAGAGGUGAAAUUCUUGGAUUUAUUGAAGACUAACUACUGCGAAAGCAUUUGCCAAGGAUGUUUUCAUUAAUCAAGAACGAAAGUUAGGGGAUCGAAGACGAUCAGAUACCGUCGUAGUCUUAACCAUAAACUAUGCCGACUAGGGAUCGGAUGAUGUUAAUUUUUUAAUGACUCAUUCGGCGCCUUACG